rnacentral:rRNA from 1 species
UACGGAGGGGGCUAGCGUUGUUCGGAAUUACUGGGCGUAAAGCGCACGUAGGCGGCUUUGUAAGUUAGAGGUGAAAGCCCGGAGCUCAACUCCGGAAUUGCCUUUAAGACUGCAUCGCUCGAAUCCAGGAGAGGUGAGUGGAAUUCCGAGUGUAGAGGUGAAAUUCGUAGAUAUUCGGAAGAACACCAGUGGCGAAGGCGGCUCACUGGACUGGUAUUGACGCUGAGGUGCGAAAGCGUGGGGAGCGAACAGG